rnacentral:rRNA from 1 species
GAUGAACGCUGGCUACAGGCUUAACACAUGCAAGUCGAGGGGAAACGACGGGGAAGCUUGCUUCCCCGGGCGUCGACCGGCGCACGGGUGAGUAACGCGUAUCCAACCUGCCUCUGACUGAGGGAUAACCCGUCGAAAGUCGGCCUAAUACCUCAUGGCAUCGUCUGCGGGCAUCCAACGACGAUUAAAGAUUUCAUCGGUCAGGGAUGGGGAUGCGUCUGAUUAGCUAGUUGGCGGGGUAACGGCCCACCAAGGCGACGAUCAGUAGGGGUUCUGAGAGGAAGGCCCCCCACAUUGGAACUGAGACACGGUCCAAACUCCUACGGGAGGCAGCAGUGAGGAAUAUUGGUCAAUGGGCGAGAGCCUGAACCAGCCAAGUAGCGUGCAGGAUGACGGCCCUAUGGGUUGUAAACUGCUUUUAUGCGGGGAGAAAGUGAGGGACGUGUCCUUCAUUGCAGGUACCGCAUGAAUAAGGACCGGCUAAUUCCGUG